ncrna:unclassified sequences DTF805b RNA
UAGGCGGAAUCCGAAAAGCCUAAGAAAGAGUAGGAG